rnacentral:rRNA from 1 species
UACGUAGGGGGCGAGCGUUGUCCGGAUUUACUGGGCGUAAAAGGCUCGUAGGUGGCUCGUCCAGUCGGACGUGAAAUCUCCCGGCUUAACUGGGAGGGGUCGUUCGAUACUAGCGGGCUCGAGGUCGGUAGAGGGAAGCGGAAUUCCGGGUGUAGUGGUGGAAUGCGUAGAGAUCCGGAGGAACACCAGUGGCGAAGGCGGCAUCCUGGACUGGUCCUGACACUCAGGAGCGAAAGCGUGGGGAGCGAUCCGG